rnacentral:rRNA from 1 species
GAUGAACGCUGGCGGCGUGCCUAAUACAUGCAAGUAGAACGCUGAAGGAAGGAGCUUGCUCUUUCCGGAUGAGUUGCGAACGGGUGAGUAACGCGUAGGUAACCUGCCUGGUAGCGGGGGAUAACUAUUUGAAACGAUAGCUAAUACCGCAUAACAGUAGAUGUUGCAUGAUAUCUACUUAAAAGGUGCAAUUGCACCACUACCAGAUGGACCUGCGUUGUAUUAGCUAGUUGGUGAGGUAACGGCUCACCAAGGCGACGAUACAUAGCCGACCUGAGAGGGUGGUCGGCCACACUGGGACUGAGACCAGGCCCAGACUCCUAAGGGAGGCAGCAGGAGGGAAUCUUCGGAAAUGGACGGAAGUCUGACCGAGCAACGCCGGGGGAGGGAAGAAGGGUGUCGGAUCGUAAAGCUCUGUUGUAAGAGAAGAACGAGUGUGAGAGUGGAAAGUUCACACUGUGACGGUAUCUUAACAGAAAGGGACGGCUAACUACGUG